CGGGCCUUGUACACACCGCCCGUCACACCAUGGGAGUUGGUUUUACCCGAAGGUAGUGCGCUAACCGCAAGGAGGCAGCUAACCACGGUAGGGUCAGCGACUGGGUG
rnacentral:rRNA from 1 species